rnacentral:rRNA from 1 species
GACGAACGCUGGCGGCGUGCUUAACACAUGCAAGUCGAACGGAAAGGCCCUGCUGUUGUGGGGUGCUCGAGUGGCGAACGAGUGAGUAACACGUGAGUAACCUGCCCUUGACUUUGGGAUAACUUCAGGAAACUGGGGCUAAUACCGGAUAGGAGCUCCUGCUGCAUGGUGGGGGUUGGAAAGUUUCGGCGGUUGGGGAUGGACUCGCGGCUUAUCAGCUUGUUGGUGGGGUAGUGGCUUACCAAGGCUUUGACGGGUAGCCGGCCUGAGAGGGUGACCGGCGACACUGGACCUGCGAUACGGCCCAGACUCCUACGGGAGGCAGCAGUGGGGAAUAUUGCACAAUGGGCGGAAGCCUGAUGCAGCAACGCCGCGUGCGGGAUGACGGCCUUCGGGUUGUAAACCGCUUUCGCCUGUGACGAAGCGUGAGUGACGGUAAUGGGUAAAGAAGCACCGGCUAACUACGUG